rnacentral:rRNA from 1 species
UACGAAGGGGGCUAGCGUUGCUCGGAAUCACUGGGCGUAAAGCGCACGUAGGCGGCUUCUUAAGUCAGGGGUGAAAUCCUGGAGCUCAACUCCAGAACUGCCUCUGAUACUGAGGAGCUCGAGUCCGGGAGAGGUGAGUGGAACUCCGAGUGUAGAGGUGAAAUUCGUAGAUAUUCGCAAGAACACCAGUGGCGAAGGCGGCUCACUGGCCCGGUACUGACGCUGAGGUGCGAAAGCGUGGGGAGCAAACAGG